rnacentral:rRNA from 1 species
UGGGGAAUUUUUGGACAAUGGGCGAAAGCCUGAUCCAGCAAUGCCGCGUGUGUGAAGAAGGCCUUCGGGUUGUAAAGCACUUUUGUCCGGAAAGAAAUCCUUGGCUCUAAUACAGUCGGGGGAUGACGGUACCGGAAGAAUAAGCACCGGCUAACUACGUGCCAGCAGCCGCGGUAAUACGUAGGGUGCAAGCGUUAAUCGGAAUUACUGGGCGUAAAGCGUGCGCAGGCGGUUUGCUAAGACCGAUGUGAAAUCCCCGGGCUAACCUGGGAACUGCAUUGGUGACUGGCAGGCUAGAGUAUGGCAGAGGGGGGUAGAAUUCCACGUGUAGCAGUGAAAUGCGUAGAGAUGUGGAGGAAUACCGAUGGCGAAGGCAGCCCCCCUGGGCCAAUACUGACGCUCAUGCACGAAAGCGUGGGGAGCAAACAGGAUUAGAUACCCUGGUAGUCCACGCCCUAAACGAUGUCAACUAGUUNUUGGGGAUUCAUUUCCUUAGUAACGUAGCUAACGCGUGAAGUUGACCG